AACGAACGCUGGCGGCAGGCCUAACACAUGCAAGUCGAACGAUGUAGCAAUACAUAGUGGCGCACGGGUGAGUAACGCGUGGGAAUGUACCAUUUGGUGGGGAAUAACUCCGGGAAACUGGAGCUAAUACCGCAUACGCCCUUCGGGGGAAAGAUUUAUCGCCAAAUGAUCAGCCCGCGUGAGAUUAGAUAGUUGGUGGGGUAAUGGCCUACCAAGUCGACGAUCUCUAGCUGGUCUUAGAGGAUGACCAGCCACACUGGAACUGAGACACGGUCCAGACUCCUACGGGAGGCAGCAGUGGGGAAUAUUGGGCAAUGGACGAAAGUCUGACCCAGCCAUGCCGCGUGAGUGAUGAAGGCUCUAGGGUUGUAAAGCUCUUUCGCCGAUGAAGAUAAUGACGGUAGUCGGAGAAGAAGCCCCGGCUAACUUCGUGCCAGCCGCCGCCGUAAAAC
rnacentral:rRNA from 1 species